GCAAGUGAUGAUUUGAAUAUUCUUCACUUUGACCUGAUUAUCCAGUGAUGAUGGAUUUCAAUCUGAGC